UACGUAGGGGCUAGCGUUAUCCGGAAUUACUGGGCGUAAAGGGUGCGUAGGCGGUCUUUCAAGCCAGAAGUGAAAGGCUACGGCUCAACCGUAGUAAGCUUUUGGAACUGUAAGACUUGAGUGCAGAAGAGGGAAGUGGAAUUCCAUGUGUAGCGGUGAAAUGCGUAGAGAUAUGGAGGAACACCAGUGGCAAAGGCGGCUUCCUGGUCUGUAACUGACACUGAGGCGCGAAAGCGUGGGGAGCGAACAGGAUUAGAUACCCCGGUAGUCCCUGA
rnacentral:rRNA from 1 species